GAAAUGCGAUAAGUAGUGUGAAUUGCAGAAUUCAGUGAAUCAUCGAAUCUUUGAACGCACAUUGCGCCCUUUGGUAUUCCUUAGGGCAUGCCUGUUCGAGCGUCAUCUAAACCUUCAAGCCCUGCUUGGUGUUGGGUGCCUGUCCCGCCUCCGCGCGCGGACUCACCUCAAAUCCAUUGGCGGCCCCCGCGUCGGCCACGAGCGCAGCAAAAACGCGAACUCGUGAGCCCGUCCGGGCGGCUCCCAGAAGCUACACCCACCCAGUUUGACCUCGGAUCAGGUAGGGAUACCCGCUGAACUUAAGC
rnacentral:misc_RNA from 1 species